rnacentral:rRNA from 1 species
GAUGAACGCUAGCGGCAGGCUUAAUACAUGCAAGUUGAGGGGCAGCAUGAUAUACGCGAGUAUAUUGAUGGCGACCGGCGGACGGGUGAGUAAUAGGUAGGAGACCUACCUCAUACAGGGGGAUAGCAUAGAGAAAUCUGUGGUAAUACCCCAUGAGGUUAUAUGAAUAGAGGCAUAUAAUCAAAGCAUAAGCGAUUAUGCGGUAUGAGAGGGGCCUACUGACCAUUAGCUAGUUGGUGAGGUAAGGGCUCACCAAGGCGAAGAUGGUUAGGGGUUUUGAGAGAGAGACCCCCCACAUUGGAACUGAGAGACGGUCCAGACUCCUACGGGAGGCAGCAGUAGGGAAUAUUGGGCAAUGGGCGAAAGCCUGACCCAGCCAUGUCGCGUGAAGGAAGACGGCCUUAUGGGUUGUAAACUUCUUUACUACGCGAAUAGAGGUUAGUACGAGAUACUAAUAGGAAGGUAGUGUAGUAAAAAGCACCGGUAACUCCGUG